UGCCUCUCUAUUUUUAUCACUUAAUGUAUACAUACUGAUGUAGCAAAUUAACUAAAACAAAGUUGAUUCACGUUAGUCGUAUGUGUGAAGCGAUAGUGUACCCAUGGCUACUGAUAAAGUUCAUUUACUGUAUUUUAUACGAAUUUCAACAAGGAAGAAAUGCUACAGAAGCAUGUAGAAAUUUAUUGAAAGUGUUUGGUGAAGGUACAGUUUCUGAUAGGACAUGCAGAAGAUGGUCCGAAAAAUUCGAAACAGGUGAUUUCGACCUUUCUGAUAAGCCACGUUCUGGGCGACCAUCUUUGGUCGAUGACGAUGUUGUUAAGACCAUGUUGGAGCAAGAUCCUUUUCUGACAACAUCGGAGAUCGCAAAAAGGCUUAAUUCAGCUCAGCAAACCAUUUCGGACCAUAUUCGGAAGAUAGGAUUGAAAAAUUUGGAAAAAUUUGUAUUUUGUUUUAUUCCAAAAACGGACAGAACUUUCCGGUAGACCUAAUAUUUUAACCAACUUGAUUUGUACAAAGUGACAGUAAUCAAAGGCUGCGUCGAUUCUGUAUUAAACUAUCUACUGCUUAAAUCACAGUUGUGACCAUCAUGAACCAAACACCCAAAGCAGUAUAUAAUCGAUUUGAGUCAUGGUAAUCAAUAUUAUGAAAUAAACAGUAGAUAGGUUAAUACAGAAACGACGCACCAUUUGUCACUUCGUAGAAACCAGUUUAGAUAAAAUAUGGACAAACAGAAUAAGGAAGACAUUAUGAAUAUAGAAUUUGAUUUUGAUGAGUAUUUUUGUUGAGCGACGAUUCGUCAUUUGAAAAAAGACAUCCUGCUGCAAAUCCUAGUGUUGCGAUUUCAGGAAGAUCCGCAAGUCCUCCAAAAACUCUGUCUAAUGACAGUAUGCAUAAUUUUCCAGCACUUAGCUGCUCUCAAAAAACAAAAUCUCCAGACGUUGCAUAUGCUUCGCAAACAGUUCCAAGCAGAACAUAAACAGGUAAAACUCCAGUCGUUCAAACUCCAGUUCUUGCGAGACAGAUAACUUUGAAAGAAACAUCAAUUGCCACUUCGCAAAUAAAUUCAGGACCAGCUCCUAGAUCAAUCGACUCAGAUCAGAGAAAUUGAAGACCGAGAGGUAGUAGAGCCGGUGUGGCGCGACAACAAGAAAGGUUUAUGAGAUUUUUAUAUAGAUUAUUGGCAGCACUAUAUAACUGGGGAUUUAGAAAAAGAAAAUAUACAAACAAAGAAUAGAAGAAA